ACAUCCUGUGCUACAUCCAGAGAUGGAUGGUUCCCUUCGGGGACGCAGUGACAGGUGCUGCAUGGCUGUCGUCAGCUCGUGUCGUGAGAUGUUCGGUUAAGUCCGGCAACGAGCGCAACCCACAUCCCUAGUUGCCAGCAGUUCGGCUGGGCACUCUAUGGAAACUGCCCGUGAUAAGCGGGAGGAAGGUGUGGAUGACGUCAAGUCCUCAUGGCCCUUACGGGUUGGGCUACACACGUGCUACAAUGGUAGUGACAAUGGGUUAAUCCCAAAAAGCUAUCUCAGUUCGGAUUGUCGUCUGCAACUCGACGGCAUGAAGUCGGAAUCGCUAGUAAUCGCGUAACAGCAUGACGCGGUGAGUACGUUCCCGGGCCUUGUACACACCACCCGUCACACCAUGGGAGUUGGUUCUACCCGACGGCCGUGCGCUAACCUUUUGGAGGCAGCGGACCACGGUAGGAUCAGCGACUGGGGUGAAGUCGUAACAAGGUAACCUA
rnacentral:rRNA from 1 species